UUGAACUUCAGUCAUCCUGACUUCAGAGCCUGUGCUCUAUCCACUGUGCCACCUACCUGCCCCUAAAGCGGUAAGAUUUCUAAUCAACUGAAUGGCCAUCCACAACCCCAGAGAACUCAUGAUGAGACACACUGUGGAUUUUGGGGAAAAACACAUAAUUUUCCUUGAUUUUUGAAAAAUCUUCUUGAGACCAAAGCCCUUAUUGCAUAGAUGAGGACUGAACUGAAGCGUACAGAGAAGAAAUGACUUGCCUAGAAUCACACAGCUACUAAAUUUCUAAGGUUUCUGCUUAUAUUCAAAAGAAGAUCCUUUCCCUAUGUAUGCUCCCUGUGACCAAACAAGGAGUGGUUGCAGGCCAGGAUUCUAUGACCCAGACCUAGCCCAGCUGGAAUUAAUUCCACCACCAUUCACCAAAUUACCUGGAACUCACAGAGGGAGGUAUGGAGGGCUGUGGUCCUUGGGGAAAAGUGGCCAUAUCUACUAGGCAUGUUGGUACAGUGAACAGAGGAUCACAUCUGCAGCCAGGAAGACCCGAUUUCAAAUCCAGGCUUAGAAAAUUGCACUAGGUGGGUGACCAAGGGCAUGUUGCUUCAUCUCUGCCUCAGCUUCCUCAUCUAUAAAAUGGAAAUGUUAAAAACACAUAUCUCCCACGGUGGGUGUGAGGAUAAAAUGAGAUAUUCAUUGUAGAGUGCUUAGGAUAAUGCCUGGUAUAUAUUAGGCAUUAUAUCCAUGUCAGCUAUUAUUAUUUUUAUUUGUUUAUAAGCUUGUGGUCUAUUUAGCACAUUCCUGUGCACACUUCUUUUACCUGGUGAGGAGGGUACAUUAACAAUAAAAAGAAAAGGGAAUCUGUCCUUUCUAAUAGCACAAUAAAUUUUGAGUGGAUCGGUGAUUUCA